rnacentral:rRNA from 1 species
UGGCUCAGGAUGAACGCUAGCUACAGGCUUAACACAUGCAAGUCGGAGGGGCAGCAUGACGAUUGCUUGCAAUUGUUGAUGGCGACCGGCGCACGGGUGAGUAACGCGUAUCCAACCUUCCCUAUAGUAGAGAAUAGCCCGGCGAAAGUCGGAUUAAUGCUCUAUGUUCUUCUUUGAUGGCAUCUGAUGAGAAGCAAAGGUUCACCGCUAUAGGAUGGGGGAUGCGUCUGAUUAGCUUGUUGGCGGGGUAACGGCCCACCAAGGCAACGAUCAGUAGGGGUUCUGAGAGGAAGGUCCCCCACAUUGGUACUGAGACACGGACCAAACUCCUACGGGAGGCAGCAGUGAGGAAUAUUGGUCAAUGGGCGAGAGCCUGAACCAGCCAAGUAGCCGUGCAGGAUGACUGCCCUAUGGGUUGUAAACUGCUUUUAUAGGGGAAUAAAGUGAGGUACGUGUACCUUUUUGUAUGUACCCUAUGAAUAAGGACCGGCUAAUUCCGUGCCAGCCGCUGC